CCUGCGGAAUAGGGUGGGGACUUAAUACACCAUACCGCAACACCCAGGGGCUCAACGGUCUGUCGCGCUGCUGCCCACAGGAUUGCUUAAGAGAGCAGACUAUGUGACCUUUUCCCCAAGAGCAUCACGGUACACAGAACACAAGGCUAAGAGGACUGCCAUUCUCAGUUCCACUGAGGUCUAUUGCAGAGGUGAUAGAAUCACAUUUUAGAAGCUACAGAGAAGUCCUUAUUAGACUGACUGAAGCCCUGGACAAGGAAUCUCUCAGGAAAGACUGUAAGCUGAUAGGCACCUGCUCAUGGGAGCGCUCACGGCUGCCUUGCCAUGGACAUGACCUCUGACCUUCUGGCAUUUUGCAAAAUGAGACUCCAACUGAGCUGUUCUAACUGGUACCUGAGCUACAGCAGACCUGCCCUGACCCUCAAGGAGCCCGGGGCUGUUUGGGACUCGCUUAGAGAUGACAUGUUUACAGUUUCACUUCACAGACAGGAUUUGGAUGCAAUUCCCAUGUGCAGCUCUGCUCUGUGUAAAGACUCACAACAAGGAAGUGAGAAUUGUACAAAAAUAUGUAAAAUAUGAUAGUAAAAUAUGAAUAGCUGACGAGAAUGGCACAUAGGGCAUGACUGCCAUGAGAUUGAGUCUAACCUAGGCUACACAUCAAGUAUCAGUCCAUCCAGGGCUAAACAGCAAGACCUUACCUCAGAAACAAUGAAGUAUUAAAUUAUCGAUAAGCAGUAGGGUUGUAAGUUUUUCUUCUGCUUAUGUACCUCAGAAUUCAGCAACUCUACAGUGUGUUUUAGUUUUAUGGAGUUAUUUUGAAAAUCUGACAUAUUUAAACAUUCUCAUUUUCCCUUUGUAAGUCAUACUUCUACCUAAACCCAGAAUUUGGAGUUUGUUUAGCAGAAAGAAAAAAAAACAUUUUUCUUUAAUGCAUGUGGGCUGUACAAGAAAAUAGAAAGGUUAAUUACAAGCAAUAAAGGUUCAUUACCCAUC
rnacentral:lncRNA from 1 species